rnacentral:rRNA from 1 species
CCUACGGGUGGCAGCAGUGGGGAAUAUUUCACAAUGGGGGAAACCCUGAUGCAGCAACGCCGCGUGAGUGAAGAAGUAUUUCGGUAUGUAAAGCUCUAUCAGCAGGGAAGAAAAUGACAGUACCUGACUAAGAAGCCUCGGCUAACUACGUGCCAGCAGCCGUGGUAAUACGUAGGGGGCAAGCGUUAUCCGGAUUUACUGGGUGUAAAGGGUGCGUAGACGGGUGCGCAAGUCAGAAGUUAAAGCCCGGGGCUAAACCGCGGGACUGCUUUUGAAACUGUUUAGCUCGAGUGCGGGUGAGGUAAGUGGAAUUCCUGGUGUAGCGGUGAAAUGCGUAGAUAUUAGGAGGAACACCGGUGGCGAAGGCAGCUUACUGGACUGUAACUGACGUUGAGGCUCGAAAGCGUGGGGAGCAAACAGGAUUAGAUACCCCAGUAGUC